AGAUUGAACGCUGGCGGCAGGCCUAACACAUGCAAGUCGAGCGGUAGAGAGGUGCUUGCAUCUCUUGAGAGCGGCGGGCGGGUGAGUAAUGCCUAGGAAUCUGCCUAGUGGUGGGGGAUAACGUUCGGAAACGGACGCUAAUACCACAUACGUCCUACGGGAGAAAGCGGGGGACCUUCGGGCCUCGCGCCAUUAGAUGAGCCUAGGUCGGAUUAGCUUAGUUGGUGAGGUAAUGGCUCACCAAGGCGACGAUCCGUAACUGGUCUAAGAGGAUGAUCAGUCACACUGGAACUGAGACACGGUCCAGACUCCGU
rnacentral:rRNA from 1 species